CUGGAAUUGAUUUUAGAGACGACUGAGUUUAAGCACCUCAUACAAAGGGCAAGGAAGCCAAGGUGAAGUGGCUUUCUGAGGGCACGAGGCUCACUGAUGGCAGAGCUUCGAAUGCCAGCCCUGUGCUCUUUCCACACAACCUCAGAUAACACCAGAAAGCUUGAGCAUUGUUAAAAUUAUCUGGAAAAAGAAAUGUCAGUAAAACUUGUGUGAGCACAGGGCAGACGCUGAUGAAGCCAAUGUUCUUAUUCAAAACAGACCUCGUUAGUUUCUGGCAAAAUUUGGAUUCUGUUCCUUCUAGUGAAGCACUAUGCCCUUCUCCUUGGAUAAAAUUACCAUGAAUUUCAGAAAACGCCUCUAAUUGCUAACGAGUGGCAGGAAGAAUUACAGAAUGUUAAAUUGCCUUUGUGCCAUCUGGGGAGAAUUUCUUUGAUUUUAUGCCUCCGAUGGGAGGCUAUAGAUGAUUGUUACUGUUGCAACAAAUAUGGGGAUAUCAUGGAAAAGACUCCAAAAUGUGCAUGCAUUUUUUUUUUUUUUUUUUUUUUAGAGUUAAAAGUGACAUUGCAAAGAAAUUUCUCACUUCUGAGGAGGAUGCUUCAGGUUACACCUCGACCCCUGGAGAUCAAGUUCAAUCCCUUCUACCCCCGUGGGUACUUCAGUAGGACGUUUUGAGAUGCAGUGAAACAGUAUAUGAACCACUCAGUGGGUUCCCGUUCAAAACCUCACACAUGCAGUCUAGUCCUAAAGAUAUCAACAGAUAGAAUCAAAACCAGCCUGGCCUCUCUUGGGAGAUGAUUUCUGCUUUUUUGCCAUCUUCCCUUUGACAAACACGAUGUGUGGCUGGGAAAGAGCCAUUUUCAUAAAUGUUUCAUUCUCCCUCCUCCAGGCAUAGCAUCACUGGAGCAUGAAUUAUGACCAGCCCGGCCGGCAAGCAUCUUUCUACGAGCACAUCCUUUCUCAUUUGCAGUCACAGUGGUGCCUCCAGUGGAAGUGACUGGGUGAAAAGAGCUCGGUGUCAGAAAUCACCGGCGGCUUCUGCGUCUGCGGACGCAUCCCUUGCUGAGAGUUUACCAGCUGCCAAGGAAGUCAGGACCAGUUUUCAGUGCUUCCUGGAGAAAGGCCAUUUAGCACAGUGGAGAAUGGCUCAGUUCUGAUCACUCAGAUACAGGCCUAUACCUCAGCUCCUCCACUUAACUGCCGUGUGAAUGUGGGCCAGUGAUUUCACCUCUCGGAGCCCUGUUUCCUCGUCUAGAAAACAGCAACAUAAUACCUGCUUAAGGUUAUUGUGAGGACAAAAUUAAUGAAUUAAUGUAUGUUGUCUUGUCAGUAGACUAGUGGUGAUAUGUUUGAUGUAAAGACGUCAGCCUUACAUAAUAAGUAUAGACAUUGUUUCAUAAAAUGUUUGUAGAGAUUUUACGUUUAUGCACAUCCUACUGGGUCAUCGUGUAAAAUGUCACUGUGAGUUGGGGCCAAGGUUUGAAAGACACUGCUCUAAACCCUCCUCCUUUCCGACCCUUUCCUCUGAGAUCUCUGGGGAACCUUUCCAGCCUUUUUCUGUUCCUCUUGCAAUGAGUAGAGGAAUCUCCUUUUCCUCAGGAUUUGAGCUUCUUGGUAGGGACAUUAUGAAUAUACUCACAAGAAGAAAAUAAACUGUUCUUUACUGGCCCUUUCUGAUUUGGG
rnacentral:lncRNA from 1 species